GGCCUACGGGGCGCAGCAGUAGGGAAUCUUCCACAAUGGACGAAAGUCUGAUGGAGCAACGCCGCGUGAGUGAAGAAGGGUUUCGGCUCGUAAAGCUCUGUUGGUAGUGAAGAAAGAUAGAGGUAGUAACUGGCCUUUAUUUGACGGUAAUUACUUAGAAAGUCACGGCUAACUACGUGCCAGCAGCCGCGGUAAUACGUAGGGGGCAAGCGUUGUCCGGAUUUAUUGGGCGUAAAGCGAGUGCAGGCGGGUCAAUAAGGUCCAAGUGGAAAGCCU
rnacentral:rRNA from 1 species